AGAAGGUCCCAAGGGUUGGGCUGUUCGCCCAUUAAAGCGGCACGCGAGCUGGGUUUAGAACGUCGUGAGACAGUUCGGUCCCUAUCCUCUACGAUCGUAGGAAAUUUGAAGGAAUCUGCUUCUAGUACGAGAGGACCGAAGUGGACGAACCUCUAGUGUACCUGUUGUCGCAUCAGCGGCAUCGCAGGGUAGCUACGUUCGGCAGGGAUAAGCGCUGAAAGCAUAUAAGCACGAAACCCAUCCUAAGAUAAGAUUUCCCUUCCCCUCGGGGACUAAAGACUUCCAGUAGACUACUGGUUUGAUAGGCCACAGAUGCAAGUGUAGUAAUACAUUUAGUCGAGUGGUACUAAUUAGUCGUGAGACUUAAUCAAAUU
rnacentral:rRNA from 1 species